AUUGAACGCUGGCGGCAUGCCUUACACAUGCAAGUCGAACGGCAGCAUGAUCUAGCUUGCUAGAUUGAUGGCGAGUGGCGAACGGGUGAGUAACACAUCGGAACGUGCCCUGUAGUGGGGGAUAACUAGUCGAAAGAUUAGCUAAUACCGCAUACGACCUGAGGGUGAAAGAGGGGGACCGCAAGGCCUCAUGCUAUAGGAGCGGCCGAUGUCUGAUUAGCUAGUUGGUGAGGUAAAGGCUCACCAAGGCGACGAUCAGUAGCUGGUCUGAGAGGACGAUCAGCCACACUGGGACUGAGACACGGCCCAGACUCCUACGGGAGGCAGCAGUGGGGAAUUUUGGACAAUGGGGGCAACCCUGAUCCAGCAAUGCCGCGUGUGUGAAGAAGGCCUUCGGGUUGUAAAGCACUUUUGUCCGGAAAGAAAUCGCACUUACUAAUAUUAGGUGUGGAUGACGGUACCGGAAGAAUAAGGACCGGCUAACUACGUGCCAGCCGCCGCCGUAAUAC
rnacentral:rRNA from 1 species